rnacentral:rRNA from 1 species
UAAUGUAUGGGGAUCUGCCCGAUAGAGGGGGAUAACUACUGGAAACGGUAGGUAAUACCGCAUAAUGUCUACGGACCAAAGCAGGGGCUCUUCGGACCUUGCACUAUCGGAUGAACCCAUAUGGGAUUAGCUAGUAGGUGGGGUAAAGGCUCACCUAGGCGACGAUCUCUAGCUGGUCUGAGAGGAUGAUCAGCCACACUGGGACUGAGACACGGCCCAG